UGUCGCCCUCCUCCACGCUCCUGCUUGUGGGUCGCACGGCGCGUACGUGCGUCGCCCGAGUGAGCUGGUGCCUGUCUUUCGCGUCUCUACCACUGCCUUUACAGUGCAACCUACUUGGGGAGUUUCAUUUCGUGCGGUUGCGUCCUCCGUCGUGUCUGCUCACAGACGUUGCCUUUCUGCCUGUGCCCUUCCGCCACCCUCACGCCCACACCCCUCACACCACCACCCCUCAUCGUUCCCGUCGCUAAACAUGCAGCAGCCAUGCUUCUUCGCCGCGCGCUGUGGCGCACAGCGGAUUUCACGGCUGGCGACAGCGGCGGCAGCAAGAGUGUCGUCAUCGCCCGCGAUAAUGCGCUGCGCCAUGAGCAGCAGCACUAGCAGCAACCGUCUUCUCACGGUGCACGCCUCAGCAACCGCCACGCGCGCCCUCCAUUCGGGAUCGCUGCCUGUGUCGUCGACGCUGACGCAGCGGAAGCUGUCGGCGCUUCCGACAAGCCUGACCGCCCUUCGCACGAUGCGCGGCGCCGCUACCAUUGUAGUCCCGGCGCGCGCCUCGUUCUUCGCGGGAGCCGCGGUCUCGCCGAUGGCGACAGCGUGCUCGUCGCUCUUCGCUGCGCAGCGCUGCUACGGCGUCGCCAGAGCCACCCGCGUUGCGCACUCCCCAAAGAAGAGCAGCGAAGGCGGCGGCCAGCUGCAGGGCGUCAACAAGCUCGCACGCUACAAGGGAGAGGAAGAGGACGAGCAGAAGGAUGGUAGUGGCAACGAGCAGGAGAGCCCGUUCAACAUGAACUCCGGCCCAGGCUACUUGCCCUUCCCCCCGCCCUUCCACACCAUCAACAUCGUCAUGAUCCUCUUCCUCGCCAACGUGAUGUGCUACCUGAUCAUGAACCUCGGCAAUGACGACUGGCGCGACUUCGUGGUCGAGCACUGCACUCUUUCACAUGAGAACUGGACACGCAUUUACCCCCUCUUCACGAACGCCUUCUAUCAAGAGAACAUCCUCCAGCUGCUCAUCGACUGCUGGCUUCUCUGGCAGUUCGGCGACACGAUGCUGGGCUUCCUGGGCAACACGCGCAUGACCUUCUUCGCGCUGCUCUGCACGCUCGGCGGCAGCGUCAUCCAUGUGGCGCGGCAGAAAUUCGAGCUGUACUACGGAAUGGACGAGUUGGAGGUACGUGGCCGCUGCUACGGACCCAACCCGUUCAUCAUGGGUCUCGUGGCGAUAGAGGGGCUCAUCUUCCGUCACCUGAACUUCAUUCAGCAGCCGCCGAUCCCCUUCCUCGUGCUGACGGCGUUCGUUAUGGUGAUCGACGUCUGGCGCAUCUUCACGACGAAGCCGGAGGAGCACGGCGCGGCCACCGGCGGUGCCCUCAUGGCGUACCUCUUCUGGGCCCUGCCGACUCGCAUGCUGGGUCUCGACAAGCUCACUGCCACGCUCUAAGCCGGAAAUAAAGCAAGGCGGCAGAGAUGAGGGCAAAGGACGACUGUGCAGGGGAGAGGGGGGGCGAGGGAUGGCGAUGAUGAUGAUGAGAGCAGCGGCUAUGGCGACAUAUGCCGAACGGUGCAGACACAUCGAAUAAACAGCGCCCCACCAAGGCAGAGCCCCACGACAACGUAUUCGUGGUGUGAUGGGUGUUAGGGGGAGGGAGAGGCCUCAACGGUCAUGCCGGAUGGCGUGCCUGCUUCAUCCACUCUCUGUCCUCUUCGUUUCUGCUGUCCAUGCGCCUCCGAGUGCGUGUGCGAGUGUGCGGCGACUUUUACGUCGCAGCAGCGCUGAUCACGGCGUAAAUACACAGAAUUAGGGGAAGAAUGAUAGGAAUGAUGGCGAGGAGGCCGGGGCGUCAGCGUUGGUGGUGGUGAAGCAGAGCGCCCGCAGGUUCGACAGAAAGGUGGGAUGCCUGUCCAUGCGUGGUAGUGAACGCGGAAGAGAGGACAGGCGGCGGUGCUGUUGUGCUGCGAAGCCAUCGGCGUGCCACCCCCCCCCAUCCCUUCCCGGUCCGACGUAUCCCGUCCCGUUCUCUCCCCUGUUGGUCGACUGACGUAAGCGUAAUAAGAAAGAAAACACACCGAGCGAGCAUCACGACAAGCCCCAGCGAUGACGACACGGGCUGCCAACUAGAACAGGACGUGCAGGCAGCUCUGUGCAUGUGUGUGGGCCUGUAUGUGUGUUUGUCUGGGGGGGGGGGGGGGGGCGGAGAGGAUAUAUGACGCCGAUACCCGCACGCGUCCAGGCGCAGUCGUGCGCUCUUUGUGAGCACGCCGCCACGUUUCGCAUGUCGACUGGGCACCGCUCUUCGCGUGCAACCGUUUCCCCUCCCGUCUUUCCCUCCCUCCCUGCCACGGCAUCCCGCUGACCCUUGCGCAUCAACACGCGCGCGUACACAUGUGCGGCACUCCUGCGUUCGCGGAUGGUUGCGCGGCAAUCUUCCGGUCGCACCCGCCACUCAAGCCAUGCUGUCGAUAGACGGAGAGUAGAAGCUGCAGCGACAUGCGCGCACGACAUCAGUGUGGCUCACCCCGCUGGCUACUGCAAGUUGUGUACGUGUUUGCCCGCCGUGCAUCGUGCGUUCUCAAGCAGUAUCAACUCAUGCUGAGCGCAGGUGGCUCAGCAUCUUGUUUUUUCUCACUCCCGGCGCUCCCACCCCCACCCCCUCCCCCUCCUCCUCCUCCUCUUCUGUCGAUCAG
rnacentral:misc_RNA from 1 species